AUUGAACGCUGGCGGCAUGCCUUACACAUGCAAGUCGAGCGGCAGCGCGGGGGCAACCCUGGCGGCGAGCGGCGGACGGGUGAGUAAUACAUCGGAACGUGUCCUUUCGUGGGGGAUAACCAGUCGAAAGACUGGCUAAUACCGCAUGAGAUCUCACGAUGAAAGCGAGGGACCCGAGGGUAACUUCGGGCCUCGCGCGAUUGGAGCGGCCGAUGCCGGAUUAGCUAGUUGGCGGGGUAAAAGCCCACCAAGGCGACGAUCCGUAGCUGGUUUGAGAGAACGACCAGCCACACUGGGACUGAGACACGGCCCAGACUCCUACGGGAGGCAGCAGUGGGGAGUUUUGGACAAUGGGGGCAACCCUGAUCCAGCCAUGCCGCGUGUGUGAAGAAGGCCU
rnacentral:rRNA from 1 species